rnacentral:tRNA from 1 species
GCCCGGGUGGCGGAAUUGGUAGACGCGUCGGUCUCAAAACCGAUGGUAGUAAUGCCGUACCGGUUCGAUUCCGGUCCUGGGUA